rnacentral:rRNA from 1 species
UACGGGGGGAGCAAGCGUUGUUCGGAUUUACUGGGCGUAAAGGGCGCGUAGGCGGUCGUGACAAGUCACUUGUGAAAUCUCCGGGCUUAACUCGGAACGGUCAAGUGAUACUGUCGGACUAGAGUACAGAAGGGGCAACUGGAAUUCUCGGUGUAGCGGUGAAAUGCGUAGAUAUCAGGAGGAACACCGGCGGUGUAGACGGCUUGCUAGACCACCCCUGACGCUGAGGCACGGAAAGCGUGGGUAGCAAACAGG